rnacentral:RNase_P_RNA from 1 species
CGGGGAGGCCGGGCGGCCGCUGGCGAAAAGCUGGAGGAAAGUCCGGACUCCGAAGGGCAGGGCGCCGGGUAACGCCCGGGGUUCCGGGGGGAGACCCCCGGAGCACGGAUAGGGCCACAGAAACCAGACCGCCCGAAAGGGCAAGGGUGAAACGGUGGGGUAAGAGCCCACCAGGCAGAGGGGCAACCCCUGCGCUGGCAACCCCCGCCCGGAGCAAGGCCAAAUAAGGGGGGACACGGGGCUGGCCCGGCCCCAUGAACCCCCGGGUAGGCCGCGUGAGCGAGCGGGAAACCGCUCGCCCAGACGGAUGGCCGCCUAAAACAGAAUCCGGCUUACGGGCCUCCCCGGAUU